AAACAUGUAAUUGAUAAACUGAAUGUCUUCCAAACAUUGAAUGUGAGUUCGAUUCUUACUGUGUUCC
rnacentral:tRNA from 1 species